rnacentral:rRNA from 1 species
AGAGUUUGAUCCUGGCUCAGGAUGAACGCUAGCGGGAGGCCUAACACAUGCAAGCCGAGCGGUAGAUUACUUUCGGGUAAUUGAGAGCGGCGUACGGGUGCGGAACACGUGUGCAACCUGCCUUUAUCAGGGGGAUAGCCUUUCGAAAGGAAGAUUAAUACCCCAUAAUAUAUUAUUCGGCAUCGGGUGAUAUUGAAAACUACGGUGGAUAGAGAUGGGCACACGCAAGAUUAGCUAGUUGGUGAGGUAACGGCUCUCCAAGGCGACGAUCUUUAGGGGGUCUGAGAGGGUGAUCCCCCACACUGGUACUGAGACAUGGACCAGACUCCUACGGGAGGCAGCAGUGAGGAAUAUUGGACAAUGGGUGGAAGCCUGAUCCAGCCAUCCCGCGUGCAGGAAGACGGCCCUAUGGGUUGUAAACUGCUUUUAUCUGGGGAUAAACCUACUUACGUGUAAGUAGCUGAAGGUACCAGAAGAAUAAGCACCGGCUAACUCCGUGCCAGCAGCCGCGGUAAUACGGAGGGUGCAAGCGUUAUCCGGAUUUAUUGGGUUUAAAGGGUCCGUAGGCGGACUGAUAAGUCAGUGGUGAAAUCCGACAGCUUAACUGUCGAACUGCCAUUGAUACUGUUAGUCUUGAGUAAGGUUGAAGUGGCUGGAAUAAGUAGUGUAGCGGUGAAAUGCAUAGAUAUUACUUAGAACACCAAUUGCGAAGGCAGGUCACUAAGUCUUAACUGACGCUGAUGGACGAAAGCGUGGGGAGCGAACAGGAUUAGAUACCCUGGUAGUCCACGCCGUAAACGAUGAUUACUCGUUUUUGGGUUUUAUGAUUCAGAGACUAAGCGAAAGUGAUAAGUAAUCCACCUGGGGAGUACGUUCGCAAGAAUGAAACUCAAAGGAAUUGACGG